rnacentral:rRNA from 1 species
AUGGCCUCCUCAUCAGCAGCGGCCGUGCCCUGCAGAUUCCUGUCCCCGCUAGCCACCACCUCCCGCACUCUGCUAUCAUCUAUCCUACCCACACCCGCGACAACGAGGAGGAGGCCGCUCCUCUCCUCCACCACCGCCAUUUGCGCCGCCGCCAUGGCCGCCUCCGGCAAGGCCGGCCCCGCUUCUUGCAAGGUCGUGGACUCCCACCUCCACGUCUGGGCCUCGCCGCUGCAGGCUGCCGAGGGUUACCCCUUUUCCCCGGGCCAGGAGCCGACGCUCCGGGGUGAUGUGGACUUCUUGCUCGAGUGUAUGGAUGAAGCUGGAGUUGACGGCGCGCUCAUUGUUCAACCUAUUAAUCAUAUGUUUGACCACUCUUUAGUAACUAGUGUGUUGAAGAAGUAUCCAUCAAAAUUUAUUGGUUGCUGCCUUGCAAAUCCUGCGGAUGACGGGAGCGGCAUUAAACAGCUUGAACAUCUGAUUGUGCAAGAAAAAUACCGUGCUGUCCGCUUCAACCCGAACUUAUGGCCUUCAGGUCAAAAGAUGACUAAUGAGGUCGGGAGGUCAUUGUUUGCUAAGGCUGGAGAACUUGGAGCACCAGUUGGAAUAAUGGUGAUGAAGGGGAUCAGUUCAUAUAUUCAGGAAAUAGAGGAGCUGUGUACGGAUUAUCCUGCAACUACUGUUAUAUUUGAUCAUAUGGCUUUCUGCAAGCCACCAACGAAUGAUGAUGAAGAAAAGGCAUUCUCUUCAUUUCUAAACUUAUCCAGAUUCCCACAGGUUUACGUCAAAUACAGUGCUCUUUUCCGGAUCACAAGAGAAGCUUAUCCGUAUGAGGACACGUCUCAGCUUCUUUCUCGGGUGAUCUCCAGCUAUGGAGCUAACCGAAUAAUGUGGGGAAGUGACUUCCCCUACGUCGUUCCUGAAUGCGGCUACAAAGGAGCAAAGGAGGCAAUCUCUCAUGUCGCUGGCAAGGUAGCUGUUUCGUCUUCAGAUCUGGAGUGGAUUUUAGGCAAAACAGUAAGCCAACUAUUUCAAGGUGCAUGGGUUACUCCAUGA